rnacentral:tRNA from 1 species
GGGGAUAUAGCUCAACUGGUAGAGCACCGGCUUUGCAAGUCGGGGGUUGCCGGUUCGAGUCCGGCUAUCUCCA